rnacentral:tRNA from 1 species
GCGCCGAUGGUGUAAAACGAAGCACCGCUGCCUGGAAAACAGAAGGUGUGGGUUCGAGUCCCGUUUGGCGCA